rnacentral:tRNA from 1 species
CAUAUUAGCCAAAUGGAAAAAGGCGCUUGAUUUAGGCUCAAGAACAUGCGGGUUCGAUUCCCGUGUAUG